CUCAGUUUCACCUGCAUGUCUGUUUGCUGUGGAAGGAUACAAGGAGAAAGGCCCCAGAAACUGAUUUAAACACAGUACCCUCAUGCUGUGCGGCAACAGAGAGUUGCUUUUACUCUGAGAGUUGUGCAAAUUAAGCCAAAUAAGAAGCAGCUGCUCCACCUGUCAGAGUACUUGGUAUCCAAAGAUGAGGAUUCACAGUACAGACUGCAUUUUGGUGACAUUUGUUUUGUUAGCACUGCUGCUUUUGAAACGUGAAGCCCAUGCUGCUUCAAAACUAUUUGAAGCAGCAGUUGCUAACACUAUGAACAAUGAUACAUUGAUUUGCCAUGAUGGGUUCAUGUCUGUUUACAUAUCAAAGGUGCAAUUUGCUGGUCUUCCUUUCACCAUUUAUGUUCAGGAUGAUCACAGCGGAUAUUACCAAGCCAUUGCUAUUGCAAAGAGGUGCCACUACUUUCUUGGAGAAAUUGACAACUUUAUUUACCUAAGAGUUGCUUUCCAUGGAUGUUUUGUGAGAAGACGUAGAUACACAAAAAACCUGACUGUUGUCAUCAUGGCACUUGCAGACAAGGGACGGUUUGAAAUUGUCAAGUCAAUACCGCUCAUCUGUGCAAGAAAAACUAAAGAGGUGAACAAAAAUGAUGAUCCAUUGAUCUCUAGAAUUCCUUCCUGCAACGAAGAUGGGUUCAACAUUACAAUCCCUCAGAAUGCCACGGUGCCACCUCUGAACCUGGAUGCAGUCUGGAUCCCUUCCAGCAAAAGCCACAACUGUAAACCCAAAAAACGAUCCAAGGAUGCUGUCACUUUCAGCUUUCCAUUUACUGAUUGUGACACUCAGUCAGUGAUAGCAGAUGGGAGUAUAACUUACUGGGUCAACAUUGAGGUAAAACAAGAUCUGCGGAAAGGCUCUAUAUUUCGUGACACUCCUUUCCAUUGUACUGUGCAUUGUAGCUUUGCGCUUGCCAAAAUUACUCAACUGAGCAUCAGGGUUCAGAGUGAAAGAUCGGAGAACAUGUCAACACUGAAGAAUGAGGGAAUACUGAGGACUGAAAUGAGACUCCAAUUACAAGUCUUUCUAUUCCUCUCGAGAUCCUCCAAUAGUAACUGUGCUUGGCGAGCCUGUGUAUGUGGAGGUCUUUGUUCUCAAACGAUUUAGUGCUGCUGCUGGAAGACUGCUCUGCAACACCGACUAAAAACUGUUGUGUUGUCAGUUGUCCCCAGCAAGGAGCGGAAAUACCCCACUCUUCAUAAAUGGUUUGUGGUAAAGCUGUUCUCAUUUGUGAAGCCCCCGACAUCUGAAAACCUGGUAUAUUUCCACUAUGAUAUAGAGAUCUGUAAAGGAACAGAUUGCUUACAGUCCUGCAGCAAUAGCAGGAGUAAAUUAAGACGUAGCACACCAGGGCCAGGACAGAGUAGCCUAUUUAUUACAGUGUAAUCUCUGGUGGACAUUUUUUUUAUCUACUGUAAACAACCAAGUUAUAUUUGGAAGCACAACUGAGAGGUUCAGUCAAUAACUGUCUGAUGAUGAUUUGUAAUGAAAAUAAAUCUAGCCCUUUUCAGA